rnacentral:rRNA from 2 species
GCAGUCGAACGGAAAGGCCCUUCGGGGUACUCGAGUGGCGAACGGGUGAGUAACACGUGGGUGAUCUGCCCUGCACUUCGGGAUAAGCCUGGGAAACUGGGUCUAAUACCGGAUAUGACCUUGGGAUGCAUGUCCUUUGGUGGAAAGCUUUUGCGGUGUGGGAUGGGCCCGCGGCCUAUCAGCUUGUUGGUGGGGUUAAGGCCUACCAAGGCGACGACGGGUAGCCGGCCUGAGAGGGUGACCGGCCACACUGGGACUGAGAUACGGCCCAGACUCCUACGGGAGGCAGCAGUGGGGAAUAUUGCACAAUGGGCGCAAGCCUGAUGCAGCGACGCCGCGUGAGGGACGACGGCCUUCGGGUUGUAAACCUCUUUCAGCACAGACGAAGCGCGAGUGACGGUAUGUGCAGAAGAAGGACCGGCCAACUACGUGCCAGCAGCCGCGGUAAUACGUAGGGUCCGAGCGUUGUCCGGAAUUACUGGGCGUAAAGAGCUCGUAGGUGGUUUGUCGCGUUGUUCGUGAAAACUCACAGCUCAACUGUGGGCGUGCGGGCGAUACGGGCAGACUAGAGUACUGCAGGGGAGACUGGAAUUCCUGGUGUAGCGGUGGAAUGCGCAGAUAUCAGGAGGAACACCGGUGGCGAAGGCGGGUCUCUGGGCAGUAACUGACGCUGAGGAGCGAAAGCGUGGGGAGCGAACAGGAUUAGAUACCCUGGUAGUCCACGCCGUAAACGGUGGGUACUAGGUGUGGGUUUCCUUCCUUGGGAUCCGUGCCGUAGCUAACGCAUUAAGUACCCCGCCUGGGGAGUACGGCCGCAAGGCUAAAACUCAAAGAAAUUGACGGGGGCCCGCACAAGCGGCGGAGCAUGUGGAUUAAUUCGAUGCAACGCGAAGAACCUUACCUGGGUUUGACAUGCACAGGACGCUGGUAGAGAUAUCAGUUCCCUUGUGGCCUGUGUGCAGGUGGUGCAUGGCUGUCGUCAGCUCGUGUCGUGAGAUGUUGGGUUAAGUCCCGCAACGAGCGCAACCCC